UCCUGCCAUGUGGUGACAGAUUAAAAGCUGCUAUACACUUUGGAACUGGAAACUGAGCUCCCAAUAUAAAGGAGAUAAGCCAUCAUGCUUACAAUAUGUUGUGCAGAGCUCACUGGUGGGCAGUUUUUCUUAACAAUGCAUCAGGACUUUUGCUAUUUGUAAAGGAAGCUUAAAGGAAGCUGAGAGUGCUGAGGGCACAUCUGAAACCACUGGAGGUUGGCGACGUGGAGGUCAGGACGGAUGCGUGGCCAGCCUCAGGUUGCUAAAUGUUAGGGUGAUCUGCCUUCCUUCUGGGGCGGUGAUUCUCCACUUGUAGAUCCGGCCAUGAGGAUUUAGGUUCGGGUAGUUGGGAGAAGUAGAUGUUCCAGCAGAGCCCUGAAGAUCCCCACCACACUCUGAUGUGGGGGAAGAAAGCCAAGAAAACUUCCAAUCAAAUCAAAAUGUCUCCUUCCAUCAGGAAAGCUCUCAAAAUUCAGGGUUGAUGUAAACAGAAGUGAUACCACAAGUCCAAUCCAAUAAUGGGAAACAAGAUGACGACCAAAUGGCACAUUCUGUAAUGUCACAUUAAUUCUUUUGGGACACUAUGUAAGAGCUAUCAGUUGCAAGCAAGUUUCAUCUCAAGAACAAACUGGUAGACUCAUCUGACCUGCCUAGAACCUUGUGUUGAUUCUAAAGACUGAACCCAAGCUCACCUGGAAGGGGGGACACCUGCUAUAUCUAGUUUUACUAUCAACUAAA
rnacentral:lncRNA from 1 species